rnacentral:rRNA from 2 species
UAAGGCUUUAAUUGAGUGCUAAGAGAAUGGUUUAACAAAAAUUAACUUUCUUUAAAUUUAUAAUAGAAGUUGAUUUAAAAAUGAAAAAGUUUUUAUUUAUUUUUGGGACAAGAAGACCCUAUGAAUUUUUUUUAUGAUUUUAUUUAAAAUUUUUUAAAAAUAAAAUGAAGUGAAUUUAUAAGUUGAUUGGGGUGAUUUUUAAAGAAUAUUUAUCUUUAAAAGCUGUAGGAAUUAGAACCAAAAUUUUUGGUUGUUUGAAUAAAAUACUCUAGGGAUAACAGCGUAAUUAUUUUGGAUAGUUCAUAUAGAUAAAAUAGUUUGCGACCUCGAUGUUGGAUUAAGAUAC